rnacentral:rRNA from 1 species
UACGUAGGCAGCAAGCGUUGUUCGGAGUUACUGGGCGUAAAGCGUGCGCAGGCGGUUCGUUAAGUCAGCUGUGAAAGCCCCGGGCUCAACCUGGGAACUGCGGUUGAAACUGGCGAACUAGAAUCUGGCAGAGGGGGGUGGAAUUCCACGUGUAGCAGGUGAAAUGCGUAGAGAUGUGGAGGAACACCGAUGGCGAAGGCAGCCCCCUGGGCUAAGAUUGACGCUCAGGCACGAAAGCGUGGGAGCAAACAGGG